GCUUUCUCUUUUGGGAAAAUAAAAACCAAAUACUUUCAAUGGAUCAGCUUCCAAUAUCCCUGGUAUUGAUUUGUCAUUUAAUGCUCGGCAGCCAAUUCUACCAAGAUAUAAAAACCAUCAUAGACUUUUGUUUCUGGCUUGUGAAGUUCCCAGUGGUCCACUUAAAAGCCAAGUGUUGCCUUAACUUCGGUUUCAGGGCCAGUUUGAAGAUUAUCUCAUUGAUUUGAAGAUAAUCCAAAGGGAGAAUUCAGAAAAUAUCCCAAAUCAAGCUCUCAAAGGUUCAUUUAUUUUGUGGAGUUGGUUAAGCCGCUCAUUAACUGCUCUGUCCAGCCAGUGCCCUUUGGCUUAUUAUUCUUUUGAUGUACUGGAAACUAAAACAUGUGAAGCUCCUUUCCUCUUCUCUUGUAGGAAGCAGUGAAAUGUAGUGGAAAGAUCUAGGACUUCAAAGUCCAAUCUUCCUUGAAUCCUGCCUUAACCACUUACUAGUUAUGUGACCAUGGUAUUUACCUCUCUGGUCUUUCGUCCGCUUCUCUGUAAAAUAGUAAUAAUACUUCGUGGCCUAGCCAGAAGAAUUAAAUGGGAUAACAUAUCAAUAACCUUUGUAUUGGAACCUAGCAGAUACUUAAUAAAUGGCAGUUACUACUAUUGCAUGGACUGUUAACAGUCCAUAAAGAAAACACCCAGACUUUGUAUUCAAAUGACCUAACAUAGGAUUACGUUUUCUAAUAUUCUUCACCAUUGACAGUCUGUAAAAGAAGGUACUGUCUUUUUCUUGUGCAUUUUUUUUUCUUUUACCUGUCACUGAUUUUUCCACAUGGAAGACCUAAACAGAUUUCAUUUGAAGAUAACCAUUUGCCAAAUGAAAUUGGUGGGGGAAUUUUUCUUCCUUUAAGACCUCCUCCCACAGCAGGCGUCUGGAUAACAAGUAAAAUGAUAAAUAAUGGACAAUGGUGACAGAUCCAGGCACCGAGCUCCACGCAAUGCCCGGAUGUCUGCACCUUCGCUUGGACGCUUUGUCCCAAGGCGUUUCUUGCUGCCUGAGUACUUGCCUUAUGCUGGGAUUUUUCAUGAACGUGGACAGCCUGGCUUGGCUACUCACUCUUCUGUUAACAGGGUCCUGGCAGUAAUCAUAUGAGAUAGGUGCGAUUACCUAAUUAACAGUGGAGGAAACUGAAUCCCAGAGGGCUAACUUGCCCAGAGUAAUGCAGCUAAGAAGUAGAAGAAUGGAGCCAGUAGUCUCUAAACCACCUUCCCGAUCCGCCUCCUCGUAGUUGUUUUAAAGGACAAAACAUUAAAAUGUCAUUCUUUUUCUUAGGACUUUAUAAGAGGGAGAGAGCUCCCAGGGAACUUCAGUGUUUUUCUUGUUUGUUUUAAUUAUUCUAUUUAAAUGGUUCCUAGACAUAGGUUUUUAUGAUCCAGUGGUGCUUGCUGAGGAAAAUCUUAUUAUGUAACCGCCCUUUUCCUGAGCCUUCUUGCCCUCCUGGAUACAGAUGUUUUGCUUUUUAUUAAACUUACUUGUGAUCAUGUAA
rnacentral:lncRNA from 1 species